UUCGGCUAUCGCUUUGGGAUGGACCCGCGGCGCAUUAGCUAGUUGGUAGGGUAACGGCCUACCAAGGUUAUGAUGCGUAGCCGAGUUGAGAGNUUGAUCGGCCACAAUGGGACUGAGACACGGCCCAUACUCCUACGGGAGGCAGCAGUAGGGAAUCUUCCACAAUGGGCGCAAGNCUGAUGGAGCAACACCGCGUGAGUGAAGAAGGUUUUCGGNUCGUAAAGCUCUGUUGUUAGAGAAGAACGUGAGUGAGAGCAACUGUUCAUUCAGUGACGGUAUCUAACCAGNAAGUCACGGCUAACUACGUGCCAGCAGCCGCGGUAAUACGUAGGUGGCAAGCGUUNUCCGGAUUUAUUGGGCGUAAAGCGAGCGCAGGCGGUUUUAUAAGUCUGAUGUGAAAGCCUUCGGCUUAACCGAAGAUAGUGCAUCUGGAAACUGUCAGACUUGAGUGCA
rnacentral:rRNA from 1 species